rnacentral:rRNA from 1 species
GACGAACGCUGGCGGCGUGCCUAAUACAUGCAAGUAGAACGCACAGUUUAUACCGUAGCUUGCUACACCAUAGACUGUGAGUUGCGAACGGGUGAGUAACGCGUAGGUAACCUGCCUGGUAGCGGGGGAUAACUAUUGGAAACGAUAGCUAAUACCGCAUAAUAUUGAUUAUUGCAUGAUAAUUGAUUGAAAGAUGCUAUUGCAUCACUACCAGAUGGACCUGCGUUGUAUUAGCUAGUAGGUGAGGUAACGGCUCACCUAGGCGACGAUACAUAGCCGACCUGAGAGGGUGAUCGGCCACACUGGGACUGGGACACGGCCCAGACUCCUACGGGAGGCAGCAGUAGGGAAUCUUCGGCAAUGGACGAAAGUCUGACCGAGCAACGCCGCGUGAGUGAAGAAGGUUUUCGGAUCGUAAAGCUCUGUUGUAAGAGAAGAACGGGUGUGAGAGUGGAAAGUUCACACUGUGACGGUAUCUUACCAGAAAGAGACGGCUAACUACGUG